GGCGCUAUGGUGUAGUGGCAGCACUUGGGAUUUUGAUUUGAGGCAACUCAACAGGUUUCGUUCCCACAACCCAGGUUCGAACCCUGGUAGUGCCU
rnacentral:tRNA from 1 species